rnacentral:lncRNA from 1 species
CCAGCGCUGCAUGGGUUACAGGUGCUUUUAAUAAGGUUGCAAAAGCAGCUGAAGAGGUUGGUCAGAAAACACAAGAGAAAGUUGGAAAGGUUGAAGAAGAGAAACAUAGAAAAAUAGAGGACGACUACGCUCAAGUUCUAUCGGAUUCUCCUAAAGCUUCUGCAGCAACCCAGCACGAUCCCUCCAAGCCUGAACCUGUCAAAGGUUUGAUCCUUUGAGCUUCGAAUUCUGUAAAUACAGUUGAACUAUUGGAUGCCCUUCUCAUUGAUUUCUUGCUUUGUUCAAGCAUGAGAUUGUAACUUUGAGAGAAGUAGUGCCCCACCACCAUGAUACCAUUUAUUAUUUUUGUUCUUUUUCCGUUUAGGUAUUUUACAACCGAGAUAUUUUUACUGCUACACUUACUAUCUAUUAUACUGUUAUUUUGUAUUAUCUUUCUAACAGAGGUACGGUCAACUAACACACGUGGUCCUAUCUUUGUGAGAGGAGGUAGACAAAAGAGGCAUUCGCCGAUUUCUCUUCAAUUGUUUUAGCCAAUUUGUGCAUUUUUUUAUACAACGAAAUAUUUUAUAUUGAGGGGUGAUGAUUAUAUUAGUUGCAAACUCGUCAUUUUUAAGAUUCAAACUAAAAUAUCAUUUAUAAGUAAUACGUAGCAACCCUUGAACUUUUACAUCAGUUAAAUUCUCUAUUGCCAUCAAAUGUUGUAAUUUUUCAUCCAUCUUGGUCAAGAGAAAAUUAAAUUUUCAAUGCUCCUUGGUAGUGCUGUAAAAAAAUCCCGAAAAUCCCAAACCAAACCCAAAAAAAAAUUCAAUCUCAAACCAAACCCGAAAUUUUUGGGAUGGUAUACCAAACCAAUCUUGAAAUUUUGGUACAAUAAUCGGUAUCGUCUUCUUAAUGUUUUAGUAAUUCCAUACCGAACCAAAAAUAAAUAUUAUAUAUAUUCAAGCUUUUUUUUUGUUUGGAACUUAUUUUAUUUUGGAACUAUAGUUUGUAACUUAUUUUUUAGCUUUUGGUUUUGUUACUAAACUUUUUUUUUUUUUUUUGUUGCAUGCAUGUUGAAGUUGAAUGUUGAAUUCAAGUAUUGAAAAGAGGGCGUUUGAAUUGUUGCAAACUACUAGAGCAAUAUAAUUGGUGUGGUCUACAGGUAGUAACCAUAAUCCUUUACUCCAUUUGUUCAACGCUGCCAUUCAACUCUUGGAUUUCCAUAAUUUUAAGUUUGCCCUUUAGUUUAAAAGUAGUAACCAUAGCCCUUUAUCUCCACAACUACAUGUACAAACCUCCCACACACGCUCACCUUGCACUGCUGCUUCUCAACCAAAUGUGUCUAUCUCUUCAACACGAAAUCCAAAAAUUGUAUUGUUAGUUUUCGAACAUAUUAGGUUUGUAACUUAUCUUUUUUCUUUUGAGUUUGCUACUAAACUUACUUUAUUUUGGUUGCAUGUUAAUUUGACUUGGUAUGAAUGAUUGGUAUUUCAAUUUGUAUGAAAUUCGGCAAUACCGAACCAUCCCGAAAUACCGAAAAUAUUUUGGGAAUCUUGGAAAUUGGGAAUACCGGAAUUUUGGUUUAGGAUUGGUCUUCAAAUUCCUGCCCUGAAAAUUUUCGGUUUGGGAUUCGGGAUUCCAUUUUCUAUUUGGGAUUCCAUACUGAACCACCCCUACUCCCAGGUGCAUCGAAAUUCUCUCCUUGAUCAGGUAGAGAACACGUGAAAAAGGUGAAAGAAAAAUUGUAAUUUUAUCUGUGGGAUCGUGAUUUUCAGACCUUCAUACGAAGGCAAAUGAAGUAGUGAAGAAUCAGAUCUCUAAUCAAGGAGUAGUGGAUUGACUUUAGAUAAAGUCUCAGACCUCAAGGUCUAAAAGCUCUGAUGGCAUGAUCAAAAUGACUUAUUGGAUGAGAAGGACCUAGCAAUUCUUCAUCCUCUUGCUUCACCAACCAAGGAUUCAUUCAUUUGGAUACUAGUAGAGAACUAACACUUGGGAGCCUCAACAACAAAUUCAUCUUCUUAUGAAAUCUAACGGUUAAAAUACUAAACUUAAUUUAAGUGUAUGCGCUUGUUUUUAAAAUUGUUUUACAUGAACACAAUCAUGUCAAUUAGCCUAGAUCACAUGGAUUAAUUUAAUAAGAUUACGGAGUGUACCAAAGUAGUUCACAACCCAACAUCUCAACCCUACAACUUAAGAUAUUCUUUGCACUUAUCCUAAUCAACAAUGAAUUUUCCUAAUCUGCUAUUGGGUCACAUACUCGAUUGACGAAUAUUCUCAUUUUCCUUUGUUGUCGAUGUCUCAACAUUAGGUUGUCACAAACGUCAAUUGAUUUUUAGUGUACUUCAACAGUUAUAUCAUCUGGAUUCCUUGGGCUGGCUUAUGGGCCCCGAUGUCUUAAUCUUCUCAUUUUUAUUGGGCUCACUCUCCAAGCCCAUCUAUUGAGCCCAAAAACAACUGUAUACAGUUUUAAUGAACUUAAAAACCAUCUUUGUUAACAACAUGAUUGAAUAAAUUCUCAAAAUUUACAACUGACAUUGAGAGUUGUCGGUGGCGGAGGGUUGCAGAGGAUGAUAGGCGUUGCAAAUUGCAAUUGAUAUUCAGAUAUUUUCUUUUAUUUAUUUUAGCUUUCUAUUUUUUACGUUUACUCUUUUGUUUUAAUCUUUUGUGUUGUUUUUAGCUUGAAAUCAUAAAUUUGUAUAUCAUAUAAUCAUUGUUUGUAUCUCUUUAUAUUUAGGACCAAUGUAACAGAAGACAAAUUUGAACUUGAGAGCAGUUGGGAGAAGUUUUGACACUUAUAUUGGAAGAUCGUAUUGAAGAAGUUCAAGGUUUUUAGGCAAAUUUUAAUGGGAGAGAAUUUUGAAACGGUCUCAUGUUGCUGGUAUUUUUCUACUUUGGAUGAAGUUGUGAGAUGAUAAGUAGGCUACUGCUUUUUAGACUUAAAAAUGUCUAGUUUGGUCUGUAACUCUAUCUAAGAUUGACAAACAACUUUCAUGAGUCAUGAGUGAAUGCAUUGAGCGGUGAAAAAUUAUCUUCUACUAAGAGCUGCGUAUGGUAGCAAUGACAUUGAAAUAUUUUAGCCUCCCCCAGACGUGUGGCAAGGGGGAGGCUGAAAUGUCUCUGUGAGUCUUCCCAAUUCUUAGAAGGGGUGGAUAACUGUGAUUUACCACUAGUUGUUCCCCUUUAAACAAAUGCUAUAAAUUUUUAGUUUUGGUUAAAGUAAUCAGUUUUUAGCAUUUAAAAUAUUUUAAAUUAUUUUGUAUUGUAUAAAAGCAAACUUGGGAUUCACUUUCUAUUAGUAGGAUGUGUUAGGACAAUAAAAAUUUAAAACUAUACAGUAGCCCAACUAAUUAGUAUUUUUAAUGUUAAAGAGCUCAAACCCUCUUUAUGCAAUAGCUCACCAUAGCCAUGUACUCGGCUCUGCUACUGCUAUCCAUGUACCAAAUUAUCAGCACAUUUUUGUAUCAGUUACCGAAUAUUUUGAGAUUUUCAAUUUCGAAUUUUUUAGGGUCGGGUUUGGAUAUUUUGGUUUUGAGAAAUGUUAAAACAAUUCUUUUAAAAAAAAGAUUUUUUAUAGACUCUCUAUCAUUUCAUACUUUUUACAUAAUACUUUAUAAUAUUGACACAAAAAUUAUGCCAAAAAUAUAAUGCAGUAGAAAGUAUAGAGAAAUCGUACUUAAGAGACUCUCCGCACUAGCCCAACCGCAUAUGGGAGGGGAAGUAGCAAUUAACGGAGUACGAUUCUCUCCCUUAAUUUUUUCCUUUUCCUCCUAUUUGAAUGGUUACAUUUAAGUACAUCAAUAUCUUAUAUUAAUUUUUUAUAAAAAGAGAAAGAUAAAAUAAAGAAUGUGAAAGGAAUGAAUGAAAAAUGAUGAAAAGAAGAGGGAGAGAAUCCUAAUCCGCAAUUAACCCUCGCACGUUUCAAAGUUGUCAACAACGCUGACCCGACGCUACCUCACGUGCCAGGGUCCAGACACGUGCCCCCCAAAUCCAUCCUUGGCGCUUGCGCCGGUAUAAAAUUAAAACAAAAAAUCUCCAUCCCUUCACUCUGACCCAAAAAUUGCUCGAAUUUCUCUUUGAACACGAAGAAGACUUCGUUACAAGUCUCUCAGUUUCUCCGGCAACUCUCCGGUCCGUCUCCGCCGCCAUCGCCGUCGAUCUUUACCAUCUCACCUCGAUCUCUUUCAGCAGCGCCUAGCCAUGUCGGUCAGUGCUCUCUCUCUGCCCCUCUUGAUUUCUUUCUCUGUUCUUGCAUGUAGUUAUGUAUAUAUUUAUGAAUUUAUUGUUUAGCUUACAAAUUGAAUUGAGUUUUAGGUUCUUGAAGUGUUAAUUUGAAUGAGUUAAGUAGUUUUUGUGUGGAUUUGGGGUGGUAGCUUAAAGAAUAAGUUGCUCAUUGACUAAAUCAGUGAUUUGGGACACCCUAAUUAGAUCUGUUUUGAGGUUUAUAUGAGGAGAGGAUUUUGUUCUAUUGAUUGAAAUAGAUUGGUAUUUACAGGCAAAGAACUGCAAAUGUAUGUCUCUCUCUCAGAUUUACUGUUUGUUUGACUGUUUAGUACUUGCUUUUCUGUGCCUCAAUGCAAAAUGAUCUCCUCUGUUUGGUUUGUUUGCAAAACGAUCUGCUGGGUUUGUUUUGUUUGCAAAAUGAUCUGCUGGUUUGGUUUGUUUUUGAGGCGGAGAAACGAAGACUGAGUGAACGGGAAUAAUCCAUCCUUGAGCGAAAUUUUAUUUUUGGAUUCAUAGGCUUGUUUUCUACAUUUAAUCGGCUUCUCAUUGGAAAAGUGGUUCAGGAUUCUUGAUAUGCUAGUUUUGUUAAAGUGAUGUUUCAGUUGCAGUCUUGUAAAUAUAGUUCCUGCCUCAGCUUGAGAAAUUUGUCAUAGAUCUGAUGCUUAUUUCCCGAUGUGCUAGUUUUGUUAUAGUUAUGUUACGCUCGAGGAACCCUAUACUUUUUAUUUUAUUUAUUUUUGUAUCGUGCCAGUAAUCCUACUAUCUGUGGUGGCCAUUCUGUUGCAGGUAACAACCAUCAAGGUCAGCAAUCUUUCCUUGGGUGCAAGUGAGAGAGACAUAAAGGAGUUCUUUUCUUUUUCUGGUGAUAUUGCUUAUGUCGAAAUGAUGAGGUUUGAUGUUUAUUUAGUUUGAUGGAUUUAUCUUAUUUCGUUAUCUGUGUCUUAAUCUAUCUUAUCCAAUGCUCCAUGUAGUGAUACUGAGCGAUCCCAAAUUGCAUAUGUUACCUUCAAAGAUGUACAAGGAGCUGAGACUGCAGUUCUUCUUUCGGUAAUGCAAUUUCUUCGACCAUAAUAUAUCACCUCAUCAUUCUCUCUGUUUAUUUUCUUUCUCUCAUGAUCUUGUAAUAACCAUUUUUACUGGGACUUUGUACAAUUAAAGAUAAAAACAGUCCUCUAAACCUUUGUCAUUUAGUGAUCUGAUACCUCAUCCAGUAUGUGGCUUCACUUUAUACGCUAGGUAUAUUAGUUAUGUUUCUUUGCAAAAAUAGGGGCAGAAAAGGUACAAAAUGCAUUUGGGAUUGAUGUAGCCAAUUUGUGGUUGGUGCUGAUGAGUAGAAAAACUGUACUGGAUUAAUAACAUAUUCAUAUUAUAGAACCUGGAUAUCGCUUGCUGGAUAGGUAGGAUUUUGGAUUAUUCCAUUGCGUGCAAGAAAAAUCAAUGGAUGUAGCUGUAAGGAACAAGAAGUUGAUUCGUGUCAGUUGCCAACAAAUAAAGCAACUAAGUUUCAGUUAUAUUGGCUAUGCACGGGGCUAUCUAAGAAAUCUUUUUCUUAAUGAAUAAAGAACUGUAGUAGCUAUGCACGGGGCUAUGCACUGCUUGAUUUAAUUUCACGCUUUUGCUUGGCUCUAUAGGACUUCUAAUACUACCCAAGAUUCGAUGUAGAAUUUUUAUGGGAGAAUAAAGUGGGUUGUGGUGUUGACUAUAGUCUACAGGCCAGAUGGAAAACUUUGUACGGGGGAAUAUGGCCCUUUGUUGAGCUAACAGGUCAAAAUAGAAGUCAUGUUUAAGCUUUAAGUAGUUGGUGCUUUAGGUUUUAUUGGAGAAUAGGUACUCAUAGUUUAUGAUGCCAAGUGCCAACAGACGACCUAGGAUUGCAUCUCUUUCCUUGCUUUCCGGUGUUUCUAGACAUUGGAUAGCAGUUAAUUACAAUGUUGGAGUUCAAUAGACAAUGUAAGAAUGCUGGAGGUGUACUUAUAUUAAAGUCUUCUAGUACAUGUUUAUCUCCCAGCUUUUUUAGAGUUCAUUCUUGAUUUUUACUUACUAAGCAUGUCUGAAGAGAUUGUAAUGUCUUUGUAUAAUGUCUGGUGAUAAAGAUUUCAAUUGCAGGCAUGCUGGGUUAUUCUUGGCUCAAAUUGGUCAAUGACACGAUGCCCUAAUGUGACUAUAAUCGAAAGUAAAAUGGGAAUAAUAACAGCCACUAUGGCCUACAGGCUUAGCAAUAACAUUAGUGUGAUUUUAAUUGGUGAUGUAACUUGCAAAAUUUGAGUAUGUUACUCUUUAAAAUCAUUUUUGUUAUGUCAGGGAGCUACAAUAGUGGAUAUGUCUGUCAGCAUAACUCUGGCUCCAGAUUACGAGUUGCCACCUGAUGCUAUAGCACCAAGUGUAAGAGUUUUGCACAGAGCUUCUGCAUCAUAUUUUACCCUUGCAAUUUCAUUGACCUUUGAAUUGCUCGUUCUUUGCAGGCAACAGAGAAUAAAACUCCUGGUGGGGAUGAAUCUGCAUUCCGGAAGGCAGAGGAUGUUGUUAGUGGCAUGCUUGCUAAGGGCUUUCUCUUGGGCAAAGAUGCAGUCAACAAGGCAAAGGGCUUUGAUGAGAAACACCAAUUGACCUCAACGGCUUCAGAAAAAGUUGCUUCCUUUGACAAAAAGAUUGGUCUCAGCGAGAAAAUAAGUGCUGGUACUUCUGCGGUCAGUGGCAAAGUUCGCGAAGUGGAUCAGAAAUUCCAGGUCUCAGAGAAAACCAAAUCAGCUUUUGCAGCUGCUGAGCAGACGGUCAGUAGCGCUGGAUCUGCUAUAAUGAAGAACCGGUAUGUGUUUACUAGCGCUCAAUGGGUUACAGGUGCUUUUAAUAAGGUUGCAAAAGCAGCUGAAGAGGUUGGUCAGAAAACAAAAGAGAAAGUUGGAAAGGUUGAAGAAGAGAAACAUAGAAAAAUAGAGGAUGACUAUGCUCAAGUUCUAUCGGAUUCUCCUAAAGCUUCUGCAGCAACCCAGCACGAUCCCUCCAAGCCUGAACCCGUUAAAGGUUUGAUCCUCUGAGUUUCCAGUUCUGUAAAUACAAUUAAACUAUUGGAUGCCGUUCUCGUUUGAUUUCUUGCUUUAUUCUAGCAUGAAAGUGGUGAAUGUAGGACAGAAUACCUCAAAUUUGUUUAGCAUGUGCAACUAU